rnacentral:lncRNA from 1 species
GGUGGAUUGAAUUGACGGAUGUGAUCAUGGUGGUCCGGUGAGGUGGCAGUAGGCUGCGGUGAUGGGUAGCGGAGGACGGCCGUCGACGUUGUGCCCAAUAAACCGACAGCAGCUCAACCAAAACCAUUCAGUCUCGUACUGGGCAGAUGGAGAUUGGCUGGUUUUGUGAGCGACCAUGACAAGGGAUAGCGUUAGAGAUUUGGAUUCGUCGUUAUUAACAGUCAAAUUAAGGUACAGCGAGAAGCAUGGUCAUAUAUUUACCAAAAAAAAAAAGAAGCAUGGUCAUAAAGCUUCUGCUGAAAAUACUUCUUUUUGAUCUUUUAGUGGCAGUAUUUUCUCAAUAGUAUUAUUAACACUUGUUUUUUCAUAAAGCGCAUUUUUUGAUUAAAAGUCAAAAUGCUUCAUACUCAGUCUCUCACGCAUACCUAAACU